GGACCACUUUCCGCUUUUACGGUCGGGAAGGCAGCCCAUACGGACAGGCGGGUCGGACGCCGA
rnacentral:sRNA from 1 species